ensembl:snoRNA SNORA79B small nucleolar RNA SNORA79
UGAUGACUGUUCCUCUUGCUGUCGCAAGCCAUAGACGGUGAGAUUUUGUGUCAUCAAAUAUUAAAGCUGGCCUUUCUUCACUCAAUGUGCCUUUGGAUGGGUUGGCUGUCUGUUGGCACUAUUGAAUUUUGCGGGGCCAGACAUUC